rnacentral:tRNA from 1 species
UGGCUUAGUGGUAAAGCGUUUGUCUGGAAAACAUGGGGGCUAGAGUUCAGCUCUCUU